AACGCAGACCAGCGGAAUCAUUCCGCCGUGAGCUAUAUCUGCAAUAGCAUUGAAGCACUGUCCCUCGUCGACGUAAUUCAAGAAAAAAUAAAGGAAACUACAUUCCUGUUCAGCCUACCUUAAUUAGCAGAAGGAAAAAAGAGAUUGGCGGGCUGCAGAAGUAAUCCUGGAGGAAGACAAAGAACAACAUUCAUUGUUCUGCAGAUCCAAACAAGAAGGAGAACAAUGAGGGAUGUGGAACGAGCCGUGAUGUACGUUAACUUGGGACAAAUAUAUCAUUGAAAAUUUCUGUGUACUCUAUUCAGCAAUAAACUAUCACAAUACUGCUUAAUGUCA